rnacentral:rRNA from 1 species
GACGAACGCUGGCGGCGUGCUUAACACAUGCAAGUCGAACGGAAAGGCCCUGCUUUUGUGGGGUGCUCGAGUGGCGAACGGGUGGGUAACACGUGAGUAACCUGCCCUUGACUUUGGGAUAACUUCAGGAAACUGGGGCUAAUACCGGAUAGGAGCUCCUGCUGCAUGGUGGGGGUUGGAAAGUUUCGGCGGUUGGGGAUGGACUCGCGGCUUAUCAGCUCGUUGGUGGGGUAGUGGCUUACCAAGGCUUUGACGGGUAGCCGGCCUGAGAGGGUGACCGGCCACAUUGGGACUGAGAUACGGCCCAGACUCCUACGGGAGGCAGCAGUGGGGAAUAUUGCACAAUGGGCGGAAGCCUGAUGCAGCAACGCCGCGUGCGGGAUGACGGCCUUCGGGUUGUAAACCGCUUUCGCCUGUGACGAAGCGUGAGUGACGGUAAUGGGUAAAGAAGCACCGGCUAACUACGUG